rnacentral:misc_RNA from 1 species
GAUGAAGAACGUAGCGAAAUGCGAUAAGUAGUGUGAAUUGCAGAAUUCAGUGAAUCAUCGAAUCUUUGAACGCACAUUGCGCCUUCUAGUAUUCUGGGAGGCAUGCCUGUUUGAGCGUUAUUAAACCUCUCUCAAGUAUGAUUACUUGGAUGUGAAGGAAGAGUACCUUAAACUUAAGGAGUGUUCUCCUUUGAAAUUGAUUAGCAGAUGGUAAUGUUAUUAAAUCCCUGAUGUUGUAAGAAAUAACAGUGGUUUUGUAGACUAUUAUCUAGCUUUAAAUUAUAAUUUUUAUUAUGGUUGACCUCAAAUCAGGUAAGGAUACCCGCUGAACUUAAGCAUAUCAAUAAGCGGAGGA